UGUGCAUUAGCCGGAAGUCUCACACACCCAACGUAUUGAGUGAAAAAAAAAAAAAAAAAAAUUUCUGUGAAGUGUGCUGCGGCUUCCGGCUGAUGCGCAGCAAACAAACUCUCCUGCACGGCCAUCAAGGGCGAAUCUUCUCCCGUCGGGCUCUAUCAGUUCCUUCCGGAGAUUGAAGCAUCUGGUUCUUCAUUGCUAAAACGUGAUCCCAUCACUAUUUCUGGUGAGAUAAAUGCUUAUGAUGGUGGAAGCAAUCUAUCACCUCUCUUGCAUAAAUAUGAGACGAGCAUUGAAGGGUCAAGAGCCCCUGCUUCAGAAGUCAGUGGCAAAGUAGUGAAAUUACCUACGGUCUCACCAAUAGAUCAAAGUUCACCCGCUUCUACUUUGGGGUUGGAACUUAAUUUAGAGCAACACACACAACGAUGUAGACUUUUCACUUUAAAUCAAAUAAAUUCUGCCAUUGCAGCAACAGACUACCCCGCCUUUGUUGUUCUGCAACCAUAGCUAUUUUAGUUGUGUUAUCAUAUCUAGGAUUUCCUUUACUGGGCAGCUACAUCAUAAAGAGCAUUAUAAGCUUUAGGCCGCUCUUAUCUAGUUUUGCUCACCAAAUCAACAAUUGUGCUUACACGACUAACUUUUGAGAAACAAAGAGAUUUUGAAAGGGCUGCCAGAGAUGAAAGUGAAACUCCACUAAAUGGAUACGGUUGGGCUGAACAAUUAAGUAAGAGUUUUGAGAUGGGUCUGGUAAUGCAGAAGACAUUUGAUGCUGUGUUCGUGGAUUGCAGUGUGUAUGUGAUUAUUGUCAUAUGUGGCCUCUCCCUUUCACAGCUAUUCACCUAAUCAGCUGAUAAUAUUUUUGUUUGUUUACUUGCAUGUAUGUUGAUUUAUAUAAUUUUAUGAAUUGGCCCUCUUCAAAAUCGGCUAACCUUCCCAUCCAUUGAAAAAUUGCUCUUUACUCUUUAGUGCACUUGUUUCACUUUA